CGUAGGGUGCAAGCGUUGUCCGGAAUUAUUGGGCGUAAAGAGCUCGUAGGUGGUUCGUCGCGUCUGCUGUGAAAGUCCGAGGCUUAACCUCGGAUCUGCAGUGGGUACGGGCGGACUAGAGUGCGGUAGAGGAGAUGGGGAAUUCCUGGUGUAGCGGUGGAAAUGCGCAGAUAUCAGGAGGAACACCGGUGGCGAAGGCGCAUCUCUGGGCCGUAACUGACGCUGAGGAGCGAAAGCAUGGGAGCGAACAGGCUU
rnacentral:rRNA from 1 species